AGUGAAGGGCAAAUGUCUCUCCUGAAGACACACACACCCCUUCACACUACCCAACCCCAGCCUCUGGCAGCCUCUGGAGGAAGGAAUGUCCGGAUGGAGUUUCGCUCUUGUUGCCCAGGCUAGAGUGGGAUGGCGCAAUCUUGGCUCACCGCAACAUCUGCCUCCCAGGUUCAAGCAAUUCUCCUGCCUCAGCCUCCCAAGUAGCUGGGAUUACAGGUCUUUAAUCCAUCUGGAAUUCAUAUUUAUGGAUGGUGUGAAGAUUUUUCAUAGGAAAAGCCAAUUGUCACAACACAUUUUACUGAAGUCUAUUCUUUCUCACUGAGUUGCAGUGCCGCCACUAUCAUAAAUCACAUUCCCACAUAUACUUGGAUCUGUUUCUGGGCACUCUAUUCUAUUGAUUCCUUUGUCUAGCCCGGCACCGAUACCACAUUGUUUUAAUUACUAUCGCUUUCAAAAAAGUCUUGGUAUUUGUUAGGGCCAGGUCUCUUUCCUUAUUCUUUUUCAGAACUGUCUACUUUUUUCUUGGGUCUUUGCUCUUCUCUAUGAAUUUUAGAAUCAGUUUGCCUAGCCCUGUGAAAAAUCCUGUUGGAAUAUUUAUUGGACCUGCAAUGAAUCAACAGAUUAACGUGGAGAGAAUCGUCUUCAUAACAUGGAGGCAUCUCAUACUUAACCUAAUACUUCUCUAUGGCUCUCCAUUUAUUACUAUUGUAGCCUAUGUUUUACUUCCUAAAUAUCUUGCAAUGUGUUUUGUAAUUUUUUUCUGGGUUUUGUACAAUUUUAAUUUUAUUGUGAAUGAUUUCUUUUUGAAAGAUACUACAAUUUCUAAUAAACUAUUGCUAGUGCGUAGAAACA